rnacentral:rRNA from 1 species
UACAGAGGGGGCAAGCGUUAUUCGGAAUUAUUGGGCGUAAAGGGCGCGUAGGCGGCUUCGCAAGUGGAAGGUGAAAUCCCUCGGCUUAACCGGGGAACUGCGUCUGAUACUGGAUGGCUUGAGUUUGGGAGAGGGAUGCGGAAUUCCAGGUGUAGCGGUGAAAUGCGUAGAUAUCUGGAGGAACACCGGUGGCGAAGGCGGCAUCCUGGACCAACACUGACGCUGAGUGAGCGAAAGCCAGGGGAGCAAACGGG